UUGUGGGAUAUUAUUAUGGAAUAAAAGUAUAAAUUUAAAUAGCAUUAUUAAUAUAUAUAUAGAAUUAGGCUGAAAUAUUAUUAAUAGCACCAAUGACUUGGUGUUAUUAAAUUUUUUAUUAUUGGAUUAAAAGAUAUACGGUUAGAAUGAUGUGGGUCUCUGAGGAUUGAGUGGGUGGUUAGUUGAAUAGUAUAAUCGAACGAAUGAAAAUAAUAAAAGAGCUAAAUCUAAUGGUAGAAAACUUGAUAGCACCAAAUGCUUCGUACUAUCGUGAACAUCCCAGCCGGACUAUAUAGAUAUAUAAAAGGAAAAAUUUCAUCACUACCUUUCCAAAUAAGUCUAAUAUCAUGAAUGCCCCUACAAAAAUUAAAAUAUCAUAAAUAAUCUUUUAAAAGAGAAAAACUUUCAAAAAUAACCUUUACACUAAUUUAUUAUCAAUUUUGAAUAAACAACAAACAAAAUUCCAACUUUGCCCCUAUUGUCAUUACCAUCUUAAAAUAUUUAAUUGACUAUAAAAUCAUUUAUAAUUUUAUAAACACUCUUUUAAAUUUAUAAAUAACCUACAUUUAGAGAUAAGCUUUUAUCAAUUAAAAAAUAUAUUUAUAAUCCUGACAAAUUAAGCUAAAAAAAUCAAAAAAAUUGAAAAAAAAUUUAGCAAAAAAUUAUUUAAAGUAUCAAUUAACUCAUUAAAAUAAGGUUAAACAAUUUAUUCAAAAUAUAAUUUAAAUAUAUAUGCAUGAUGUGAACUAGCAUAAAUUUCUGUGCUUUGGCAUCUCGAAUUUUAAAAAAAAUGAUAUAAAGUAUUUUAUUUUAGUAUCUUAUUUUACAAACCACACAGUUUAUUUUAAUAUUUUAAAAUAAAUAUUAUCAUGCUAAAAUAUUUUUGUAAAAAAAUUUUAGAAGUUAAGGGCAAAAUAGAUAUUUUGACCAUAUUUAUGAUAAUCUAAAUAUUUUGUUAUUCUAUAAAGAGAUGAAUAGUAAGGGUAAGGGUAUAUUUGAAAAAUAAUAAGUAUUUGCAGGGGUAUUUGUGAUAUAAUCAAAUUUAUAGGGGUAUCUAUGAUUUUUUUGAAGUUUAGAGGGGCACGAAUGAAAUUGACCCUAUAUAAAAUUAUACAAAAUUAUAAUUAUUUCGUCGUAAUCCUGUAUCUUAACAAUGAAAACCCAAAUACAUCUUCUCCCCCCAAAAAAAGCAUAACUAAUUGAAAAACUC
rnacentral:lncRNA from 1 species